rnacentral:rRNA from 1 species
UACAGAGGGUGCAAGCGUUGUUCGGAAUUAUUGGGCGUAAAGAGCUCGUAGGCGGUUUGUUGCGUCGGCUGUGAAAUCCCGAGGCUCAACCUCGGGUCUGCAGUCGAUACGAGCAAACUAGAGUGUUGCAGGGGAGACUGGAAUUCCUGGUGUAGCGGUGAAAUGCGCAGAUAUCAGGAGGAACACCGGUGACGAAGGCGGGUCUCUGGGCAACAACUGACGCUGAGGAGCGAAAGCGUGGGGAGCGAACAGG